rnacentral:rRNA from 1 species
GCUAGCCGUAAAUCCUAAGCAAACACUUACUAAUUUGCUCGCCAGAAAAUUACACGCGAAAGCACAAAAUUCAAAGGACUUGACGGUGUUCCACAUCAGCCUAGAGGAGCCUGUCCUAUAAUCGAUGAUCCACGCUAAACCUUACCCAUUCUUGCCACAACAGCCUAUAUACCGCCGUCGCCAGCCCAUCUAAUGAUAGAACUAACAUGAGCAAAAUUGCCAACCCGCCAAAACGUCAGGUCAAGGUGUAGCUAAUGAAUGGGCAUGAGAUGGGCUACAUUUUUUAAAUUAAAAAACACAGCAAGUAACAUGAAACAAGAACUAUAAAGGUGGAUUUAGCAGUAAAUAAAGUAAGAUAUACUAUAUUGAAAACCAGCUCUGGAACGCGUACAC